rnacentral:rRNA from 1 species
AUUGAACGCUGGCGGAAUGCUUUACACAUGCAAGUCGAACGGCAGCACGGACUUCGGUCUGGUGGCGAGUGGCGAACGGGUGAGUAAUGUAUCGGAACGUGCCCAGUCGUGGGGGAUAACGUAGUGAAAAUUACGCUAAUACCGCAUACGAUCUAUGGAUGAAAGCGGGGGAUCGCAAGACCUCGCGCGAUUGGAGCGUCCGAAAUCAGAUUAGGUAGUUGGUGGGGUAAAGGCCCACCAAGCCAACGAUCUGUAGCUGGUCUGAGAGGACGACCAGCCACACUGGAACUGAGACACGGUCCAGACUCCUACGGGAGGCAGCAGUGGGGAAUUUUGGACAAUGGGCGAAAGCCUGAUCCAGCCAUUCCGCGUGCAGGAUGAGGGCCCUCGGGUUGUAAACUGCUUUUGUACAGAACGAAAAGGUUUCUACUAAUACUAGGAGCUCAUGACGGUACUGUAAGAAUAAGCACCGGCUAACUACGUGCCAGCCGCCGCAGUAA